UUGUGAAAACAGAACUCUUGCUUGUGGAAGUGGAUUUUUUCUUGUGAAGUUUAUGAAGUAGACAUUUACUUGUAUGUGUCCUGCAUGCUGGGGGUUCAUUAAUGUGUUGAUGUUGGCAAUGAGGAACCAGCCAGGCAAAACCAAGAGAAUGUGGGGUUCAAAGAGGGGAAAAUGCAGGCAUCCUGGCUGCUCUCUGCCCAACCCAGCCUCAGGAGAAGAUGGUCUCAGAAGCCGUCGUGCCCAGAGCAGGGGCUGAGGCUAAACCAAGUGUUCCUUUUGAGCUGCCUGCAGUCAGUCCUCGGAGAUGGCCCACCACCCACCAGCCAGCCAGUCAACAAACACUCAUUCUAUUUACUGAACACCGACCAAGCUCAGCCCAGCGCUGAGUGCUUGCUGAGAAUUUUAAAAUACUGUCUUUCUGAAACUAAUGAUGUGCUCUA